rnacentral:tRNA from 1 species
UUAACCAAAACCAAAAAGAGGUAUAUUAUUGUUAAUAAUAGAAUUGAAAGCUAGUUUCUGGUUAAG